GGAUUGUGGCUCAGUGGUAGAGCACUCACUUAGCUUGCAUGAGGCACUGGGUUCGAUUCUCAGCACCG
rnacentral:tRNA from 1 species